rnacentral:rRNA from 1 species
UACGUAGGGGGCAAGCGUUGUCCGGAAUUAUUGGGCGUAAAGAGCGUGUAGGCGGUCCGGUAAGUCAGCUGUGAAAGUCAAGGGCUCAACCCUUGAAAGCCGGUUGAUACUGUCGGGCUAGAGUCCGGAAGAGGCGAGUGGAAUUCCCGGUGUAGCGGUGAAAUGCGCAGAUAUCGGGAGGAACACCAAUGGCGAAGGCAGCUUGCUGGGACGGUACUGACGCUGAGACGCGAAAGCGUGGGGAGCGAACAGG